rnacentral:rRNA from 1 species
UACGUAGGGACCAAGCGUUGUUCGGAUUUACUGGGCGUAAAGGGCGCGUAGGCGGCGCGACAAGUCACUUGUGAAAUCUCUGGGCUUAACUCAGAACGGCCAAGUGAAACUGUUGUGCUAGAGUGCAGAAGGGGCAAUCGGAAUUCUCGGUGUAGCGGUGAAAUGCGUAGAUAUCGAGAGGAACACCUGCGGCGAAGGCGGGUUGCUGGGCUGACACUGACGCUGAUGCGCGAAAGCCAGGGGAGCGAACGGG